rnacentral:rRNA from 1 species
AUACGUAGGGGGCGAGCGUUGUCCGGAAUGAUUGGGCGUAAAGGGCGCGUAGGCGGCCCGGUAAGUCUGGAGUGAAAGUCCUGUUUUUAAGAUGGGAAUUGCUUUGGAUACUGUCGGGCUUGAGUGCAGGAGAGGUAAGUGGGAUUCCCAGUGUAGCGGUGAAAUGCGUAGAGAUUGGGAGGAACACCAGUGGCGAGGGCGACUUACUGGACUGUAACUGACGCUGAGGCGCGAAAGUGUGGGGAGCAAACAGGAUUAGAUACCCUGGUAGUCCACACUGUAAACGAUGAAUGCUAGGUGUAGGGGGUAUCGACCCCUUCUGUGCCGCAGUCAACACAAUAAGCAUUCCGCCUGGGGAGUACGGCCGCAAGGUUGAAACUCAAAUGAAUUGACGGGG